UGGUGUGUUUACACCUGCUUCUCGGUACACUGCCACCUACAAGUUUGGCGUGCUCUUGACGGCAUAUAUACACAGGUUUGCGUAAACAAACACUCCUCUGAAAACUGACAGCUGUG